rnacentral:rRNA from 1 species
AGGUUGACCUCGGAUCAGGUAGGGAUACCCGCUGAACUUAAGCAUAUCAAUAAGCGGAGGAAAAGAAACCAACAGGGAUUGCCUCAGUAACGGCGAGUGAAGCGGCGACAGCUCAAAUUUGAAAUCUGGCUCUUUCAGGGUCCGAGUUGUAAUUUGUAGAAGAUGCUUCGGGUGUGGCUCCGGUCUAAGUUCCUUGGAACAGGACGUCAUAGAGGGUGAGAAUCCCGUAUGUGACUGGCUGCCUCCGCCCAUGUGAAGCUCUUUCGACGAGUCGAGUUGUUUGGGAAUGCAGCUCAAAAUGGGUGGUAAAUUUCAUCUAAAGCUAAAUAUUGGCCAGAGACCGAUAGCGCACAAGUAGAGUGAUCGAAAGAUGAAAAGCACUUUGGAAAGAGAGUUAAACAGUACGUGAAAUUGUUGAAAGGGAAGCGCUUGCAAUCAGACUUGCGCGCGGUCGAUCAUCCGGUGUUCUCACCGGUGCACUCGAUCGUGCUCAGGCCAGCAUCGGUUUCGGUGGUUGGAUAAAGGCCUUGGGAAUGCGGCUCCUUUCGGGGAGUGUUAUAGCCCUCGGUGCAAUGCAGCCUACCGGGACCGAGGACCGCGCUUCGGCUAGGAUGCUGGCGUAAUGGUUGUAAGCGACCCGUCUUGAAACACGGACCAAGGAGUCUAACAUCUAUGCGAGUGUUUGGGUGUCAAACCCAUACGCGUAAUGAAAGUGAACGGAGGUGAGAACCCUUAAGGGUGCAUCAUCGACCGAUCCUGAUGUCUUCGGAUGGAUUUGAGUAAGAGCAUAGCUGUUGGGACCCGAAAGAUGGUGAACUAUGCCUGAAUAGGGUGAAGCCAGAGGAAACUCUGGUGGAGGCUCGCAGCGGUUCUGACGUGCCAAUCGAUCGUCAAAUUUUGGGUAUAGGGGCGAAAG